UACAGAGGGGGCGAGCGUUGUUCGGAAUUACUGGGCGUAAAGGGCGCGUAGGCGGUCUUGUAAGUCUUGUGUGAAAUCCCUCGGCUUAACUGAGGAACUGCACGGGAUACUGCGAGACUUGAGAUCGGGAGAGGGAAGCGGAAUUCAGGGUGUAGCGGUGAAAUGCGUAGAUAUCCGGAGGAACACCGGUGGCGAAGGCGGCUUCCUGGACCGAUACUGACGCUGAGGCGCGAAAGCUAGGGGAGCAAACGGG
rnacentral:rRNA from 1 species